rnacentral:rRNA from 1 species
AUGACAAUAACCUUCAGUGAUGGUACCGAAGACAAAAAAAUCAAGAUUACCAAGGAAGCUAUCCACAAGGUGUUUGGAUACCCAAACGGCACACAAAACGCCGCUAUCUUCAGCAAACAAGCUAUAAUGGUCAAGGACAUGGACUAUCCAGAAAUGGCAAAGAUGGAUUUCUGCGAGGUAAUCAUCGAAAGUAUUAAGGAAGGAACCAAGAUAUGGCAGAAGCACAGGAUGUUGCCUCAGGAAGAAAAGAACAAAAAGCAUAUCAAUGGUUUGGCGCAGGGACCAGUAAUCAUGUACCUCGACUCCCUGUUGCUGCCAACCGACACAAAAGAAAUGCGGAAGAUUGCAAAACAAUGGACAAGACCUCAUUACCACGAGCAAACCAUCUCAAAUAGAGUGACCUAG